AUUGAACGCUGGCGGCAUGCCUUACACAUGCAAGUCGAACGGUAACAGGUCUUCGGAUGCUGACGAGUGGCGAACGGGUGAGUAAUACAUCGGAACGUGCCUAGUAGUGGGGGAUAACUACUCGAAAGAGUGGCUAAUACCGCAUGAGGUCUACGGAUGAAAGCAGGGGAUCGCAAGACCUUGUGCUACUAGAGCGGCCGAUGGCAGAUUAGGUAGUUGGUGGGAUAAAAGCUUACCAAGCCGACGAUCUGUAGCUGGUCUGAGAGGACGAUCAGCCACACGGGGACUGAGACACGGCCCAGACUCCUACGGGAGGCAGCAGUGGGGAAUUUUGGACAAUGGGCGAAAGCCUGAUCCAGCAAUGCCGCGUGCAGGAUGAAGGCCUUCGGGUUGUAAACUGCUUUUGUACGGAACGAAAAGCCCCGGGUUAAUACCCUGGGGUCAUGACGGUACCGUAAGAAUAAGCACCGGCUAACUACGUGCCAGCAGCCGCAGUAA
rnacentral:rRNA from 1 species